rnacentral:rRNA from 1 species
UACAGAGGUCUCAACCGUUGUUCGGAUUUAUUGGGCGUAAAGGGUGCGUAGGCGGCGGGGUAAGUCAGGUGUGAAAUCUCGGGGCUCAACCCCGAAACUGCACUUGAUACUGCCUUGCUCGAGUACUGGAGAGGAGACUGGAAUUUACGGUGUAGCAGUGAAAUGCGUAGAUAUCGUAAGGAAGACCAGUGGCGAAGGCGAGUCUCUGGACAGUUACUGACACUGAGGCACGAAGGCCAGGGGAGCAAACGGG